ensembl:lncRNA
AGAGAGUUGAGUCAGGAUAUAUUUGACAUUAAAAUAUUAAUCUAGGCUGCAAAGCCCCAUGCAGUGGUUUCUGAGAAUCCAUGAAUCCCCUGACACUGAAGCAGUGAAGCAUAUGUGUUGUGUGUGUUUUUCAGUAGGAGACCAUCAUCUCAAUAGAUUUUCAAGAUUUACAAUUCACCGGGCCCACGGUGCGACCGCUCUCCCACCCCCUCUCCGCCACCCCUCCACCCCACGCCCCCACCCCCGCGACUGGGGUCCGCACGGGAGGGGGCGGGGCAAACUGUCCCCAGUGCGCCCCGGGCGGGUAACGCCAUGGGGCCUGGGGGGUUGGUUUCUCUCAGGCCACACGCGCGUCCCCCGAAGAGGGGACGGCGGAGCGAGCGCACGGGGUUGGCGGCGAUGUCGGCUACCCACCCGACCUGUCUUGAAACACGGACCAAGGAGUCUAACAGGCAGUAAAGAGAAACCAGGCCACACCUUGGAAACUGCUCAGAAAUCAACUCAGGAUGUGUGCCCAGGAGGACUGCGUGAAAGGUAAGAAAAUUCAGGGGUAGCUCCCUCAAAGUACUGGUGAAAUGCACAUGAGUCUUAAGUACCUUAUUUCAGAACACCAAUUAGACAGUAGGAAAAUAAAGUUUGACAAGAGAGAGCAAGAGAGUCAAGAAGCCCACCCCAGAAAGCUUGACAGAAGAAACCACCCAUGUCUUACUUUUAUCCUCUUGGAGUAGAAUUCCUCACAGGGGCUUCACAUUCCUGGAGUUCAGACUUGAUUAAACACUGUAUCUUUAAAAAUGUUAUCUUAUUCCAAGCUGAGGAACAUACAAAUAACCGCUUUCCAGUACCACUGCUCAGCCUGGAAUUCAAGCUGAGUCCUUCUGGGCUUCAGUCUGCUUUGACUAGGCUCCUUAAAAGAACAACAAGAGGCCACCUUGCUGAGUCGCAGAGCAUCCAGCCUGGGAAUCCGCAUGCUGGAUGAACAGGAAGGUAGUGGUGAGCAGCAAUGGAGGCCUUCUUUUUUCGUGCCUUGACAUGUUUUUAAAAGGAACAAUUAAGUUGUAGCCACAAGGUGAAAUGAAGGAGGUUUGCUCCAACUCAGAUGCGGAACAAACGUUCUAAAAUCCCUCUCAGUGGCUAAUAUUGAUGGGGACACAGGGCUUUCCUGAGCAAGCAGAUAUGAAGACUUUUAUAUCUGUUACAGUCAGGAUGCAUCAGAAUUCACAUCUAAUGUCAGCAUAGGUCACCCCAACUGUGAUCUCUAUGGAGAAGUUGAUAUGCCAGGCCUUGGCUGGGGAGGGAGGACCGCCACUUGCCUUACCUAGUCCAGUCCUGGCCUGCCUCUCCAGUCUUGCCUCCCUCUACUACCCGGCACACCAGCCAACCCGAUGACUCUUUUUACUCUAAAGGGGUCAUCUACAUUCCUACAUCUAUCCUUUUUCUCUCACAGUGAAGGCCCUGCUACCUCUGCUUCCUUCCUCCUUCCCUCCCUCUCUCUCCCUCCUUCCUCUUUCCCUCCCUUCUCCGUUCCUCCUCCCUCCCUCCCUCCUUCCUUCCCUCCUUCCUCCCUUCCUUACUUCCUUCUUUCCUUCCUUUUCUCCUUUCCUACCUCCCUUUCUUUCUCCCUUCCUUCCUUCAUUUUCUCUUUCUUCCUCUCCACAACCUUCCUUUCUUCCUUUCUUUUUCUCCCUCUCCUCUCCAACCUCCUCUCUUCUCCCACUCCCAUUAACUUUCAUUCUUCCUCAAUCCAAGUUACAGUGUCAUUUCCUUCCAAAACAAUUUUCCUAUAAAUCAUAGACCAAUAUUUUUAAAACUAUGUUCCCCAAACUAUCUGGUUUAGAAUGAAAUGCCAGUUUCUGAACUCCCACCCUAGACACACAGAGUAAGACUUUGUUGUAGUGAGAGCCAAGAACCUGCAGUUUAACAAGCUCCCCAGGUGAUGCCAAUGCUUACUGAAGUGUGAGAACCUCUCCCACGGCCUUAUUGUGUAUCUGUGUAGCAGAUACGGCCAGUCAAUACCCUGACAAUAUCAAAUAGCAAUGGCUUCUUCUCGGUGAUUCUCAAACAGUAGUGUGGAUCAGAAUUCCGUGGAGAGCUAAUAGAAAAUACUGAGCCCAGGCUUCAUGAAUAAGGUCUUUGUAUUUUUACCAAAUUUCCCCUCGGGCUUUUAGUUCACAUGAAAAUUUGAGGCUAGCUGUCUUCCAUUAUUUGUCAUUAUUUUCUGACUAUGGGUCCUCCACUGAAUUAGAAGUCCAUCCGGGAAAAAGACACAGCGUAUGAUUUCCCGGACACUCAGUCCAGAACGUCCUAGACAUAGUUGGCACUCAAGAAACAAUGGUUUUGGUAAUAGACCUAUUGGUGAUAAUGAAGGUAGUGAUGUGAUACAUUUGCUUCACUUUACAUCCUUAAAUUCAGGGAUUUUCAUUCUUCUUUGUGCCCCGCAGUAAACCUGUUACCCAAUCUUCCUCAGGGCCAGCUUCCUGAGCACGCACUCUGAGCAGUUGUAUGGGGCCGCAUGCUAACAAGAGCCUUAAAUUUGGUUUAAUGCCCUGCUCUCAUGUCAGCAAAAUUCUUACUAAUUUUUAAACAAUAGACCCCAUUUUCAUUUUGCACUGGGCUUUGUAAAUUAAAUAGCCAGUCCUAGUCUCAUGACUCAUUGUUUCAGACGUGCUGCUUUCUCUGUAUUCUGUCUGCAUCCACGCCAGCCCCAGGUGCUGUUAUCUCACGCCCAGGCAACUGCAUCACUGUUUGCCCUUCCCUUAAUCUCUUCUCACCCCAGAGCACACUCAGCGUGCCAGCUACCGGCCCUGAAACAACUGAUCAAUUCUCAUUGCUAUGAAAAGUAAUAAGGAACAUAGGUAGUGGGACUGUAAAUUGAGGCAGACAAUUGGCAAUUUUUACUAAAAUUCUAAAUUCACAUACCCCACGAGCCAGCAAUUUUAUCUUCAGGAACUUAUCCUGUAAGAGCAAAUUGCUUGAGGUCAUAGAGAUGUUCACUGCAUUGUCUAUGAGAGCAAAAGAUUACAAGCAAACUAAAUGCCCAUAAAUAGAAAACUAGAUAAAUUUAUCUAUAUACAGAUACAUCUAUAUCUAUAUAUGCUUGUACAUGCAUAAAACACUUCAAGAAGAAUAUGCAGGAAACUGGGAGCAGCUGCUGUCUCUGAAGAAUGAGAAUUGGGGCUGGGUGAAGAAUCACCUGUUAUUUUAUAUCUUUCUGCUUUGUUUGAAUUUUUCCUUAUUUUGUCACAAGUAUUAUUUUUCAGUCACAAAAUGAAAUCC